UGAGUACGAGAUGCUACGGCAUCGAAGCAGUCUAUGUCAUACUUCCAAGAAAAGCUUGCACUGUCAUAAACAAAGAAUGCCUGUACCAUAACCGACACAGGUGGGUAGGUAGAGUAUACUAAGGGGCGCGAGAUAACUCUCUCUAAGGAACUCGGCAAAAUGACUCCGUAACUUCGGGAGAAGGAGUGCCUUAUUUCUAAGGUUGCAAUAACAAGAUCCAAGCAACUGUUUACCAAAAACACAGGUCUCCGCUAAGUCGUAAGACGAUGUAUGGGGGCUGACGCCUGCCCAGUGCCAGAAGGUUAAAGAAGUUGGUUAGCAUUAGCGAAGCUGAUAACUGAAGCCCUGGUGAACGGCGGCCGUAACAAUAACGGUCCUAAGGUAGCGAAAUUCCUUGUCGGGUAAGUUCCGACCCGCACGAAAGGCGUAAUGAUUUGGAUACUGUCUCGGAGAGGGGCUCGGUGAAAUAGACUUGUCUGUGAAGAUGCGGACUACCUGCACCUGGACAGAAAGACCCUAUGAAGCUUUACUGUAACUUGAGAUUGAAAUUGGACUUUAUUUGCGCAGUAUAGGUGGGAGGCGUUGAGAAUAAUCUUGCGGGAUUGUUGGAGCCAUCAGUGAGAUACCACUCUUGUAAUGUUAGAUUUCUAACUUUGUAUCAUUAUCUGGUCAAAGAACAGUUUCAGGCGGGCAGUUUGACUGGGGCGGUCGCCUCCCAAAGGGUAACGGAGGCGCACAAAGGUUUCCUCUGAACGGGUAGAAAUCGUAUCUAGAGUGUAAAGGCAUAAGGAAGCUUGACUGUGAGACCUACAAGUCGAGCAGGGACGAAAGUCGGUCUUAGUGAUCUGACGGUGCUGAGUGGAAGGGCCGUCACUCAACGGAUAAAAGUUACUCUAAGGAUAACAGGCUGAUCUCCCCCAAGAGUUCACAUCGACGGGGAGGUUAGGCACCUCGAUGUCGGCUCAUCGCAUCCUGGGGCGGUAGUCCGUCCCAAGGGUUGGGCUGUUCGCCCAUGAAAGCGGUACGCGAGCUGGGUUCAGAACGUCGUGAGACAGUUCGGUCCAUAUCCGGUGUAGGCGUUAGAAUAUUGAGAGGAGCCUUCUCUAGUACGAGAGGACCGAGAAGGACAUACCUCUGGUGUACCAGUUAUCGUGCCAACGGUAAACGCUGGGUAGCUAUGUAUGGAGUGGAUAACCGCUGAAAGCAUCUAAGUGGGAAGCCCACCUCAAGAUAAGUAUUCUCAUC
rnacentral:rRNA from 1 species